AGCAGUUCAAGAAAGCUGUGGAAGACUACAAAGAGGACCAUCCUACGCAUACAGAUAGGAAGCUGGAGGAGGAGGAAGAAGAGGAGCUUAGGAUUGAGAGGUAGAGUGGGGCGAGAGGCUGAGUACUUUAUAUAGAGGAGUUUCCUUCAUGGGGUUGGUGGAAGAUUGAUAACCCAAUCCCGAGAAGAAUUUAGACCUCCAAUUGAUUUCUUUCUUUUCCUCCAUAGUUGACUUGUUUUGCA
rnacentral:miRNA from 15 species